UGUCCACAUGGUGUGCAUACAAUCUCAGGCAUGGACCAAAAUCUGCACAUAAGAAUCAACCCAAGCCGUCAGAAGUAAAGUUAAGGUCUGAUGGAACCUGAGUGGCAUGGCACCCAACAGGUAGCCCCAGUGUGCACAAGCCCCCACUCAAGAGGGACCUGAGCAAGGCUGGGGCCUGGCAAAAAGGAAGUGAGCAGAGAAAGCCAGAGGGAGUGGACAGUACUAAGAACAUCUGGGAGAGCCUAGGCACCUGGUGAAGAGGAGCAGCUCCUUGCGGGUAGGAAGGAGCACCUCCCACCCAGUGCCUCUAGGGAAGGGCCUCUCCAAGGGAUUUCUCAGACUUCCUACUCACCUCCACAAAAGCCCAAGAUCUUCACACCCACCUCUCCUCUCUACACCCAGAGCAGGAGCUGAUGAUCGAAGUGAGCAUCUGAAUUCUGGGGCCAGGGGGUUAAGGAUGAAGCCCAGUGUGACCUUCAAUGUGCACAAACCUCACACUAUCAGUCCCAACCCUUCUCCCAUGGGCAUGAUGCUACCUGCUCCUUCUGCUCCUGUCAACUUGGACAUGCCCUGGACCUGGUCUGACACCUGUGUUCAUGCUCCCUCGCCUACAAAGUUCUGCUCCCUCAGAUCUUUAUAGCCUACUGCCUCCCAUCCUAUGUCAGCAAAAUAAAGUUAAUCUUUCUCUCUUUCC
rnacentral:lncRNA from 1 species